rnacentral:lncRNA from 1 species
CAGUACACGUUGACAUUGCUGUUGGACUAUCAUUAUAGCAUGAAAAAGGCAGCAACUGCAAUGACAUGGUAUCAAUGAUGUAAAACCACCGACUGGAGAAAUAUCAAAUUAAAAAAAAAUGCACGGUGGUUAUAGUCAUAAUUAUGAUUUAACGAUAUAAUAACAGUAAUUAGAUGCUAUAAAAAGAAAGCAAGAGAGAUGGAUACUCUAGUGAUACACAGAGAUUAAACAACAGAGUAUUGAAGACAGAUGUGUAACUAAGAAAGAAAAAUAUUGAAAUGGUUUUGGUGUUGGAAAUGAGUUUCAAAGAAAAUUUUCUUAGGCUAAAUUGGAUACUUUAAGUGAAUAGAAGGGAAUGAAAAUUUAAAAAUUGGUAAAACUUUUCAAAGAACACAAGUGUCUCCCAGUAAUCUGAUAAUCACUUGAGAAGAAACUCUGCAUAAUGAGAAUAUAAUAUUUUAUGUUGAGAGUAAUCAAUGAGAGAAAUCAAUAUUAUGAGGAUAUUGAUAAAUAUUAUGGACCCAUAAUUUAAAACCAUGAUAUGGAUUAAAUUACACACAAUUGCUUAGAUAUUCAGAGUAAAGAAAAACUAAAUUACACAUAUAAACUACCAUGUAAAAAUGUAUAUACAUACCCACACAAAUGCAUGCACAUACAUACAUGCAGAUGUGCAUAUAUGCACAUAAAUAUAUAUAGCACAAGGCUAGAUGCACAUAAAUAUAUAUAGCACAAGGCCAGAUAUUUUAGGGAGAGGGAAGGGGUAAGUUGACUACAUUGACCCCCCAGAACUUAACUGGUACUUAUUUUAUUGACCCCAAAAGGAUGAAAGGCAAAGUCGACUCCGGCAGAAUUUGAACACAGAAUGUGAAGGUAGUCAAAAUGUCACUAAAUAUUCUGUCUGAUGUGCUAAUGAUUCUGCCAGUUCACUGCAUUUAUACAAAUAUAAACACAUACACACACAUUCACAGACAAAGGCACACAUAUAUAAAUACAUUCUGUACACUCUAUGUAAAAUGGUUGUUUUAAAGAAGGACAUUCAGUCAGGGAAACAAGCCACAAUGAAACUCUCCAAAAUGAUACUGGCCUCUGAUUCUCCCAGGCAUACAUUAAGGACCUGUGAAACACAAGUUGGUAAAAGCUCGUCAUGAUAAUACAAAUUAUAUACAAACAAACACAUAUGCAUACACAUGUUCAUAUAUGUAUAUAUAUGUGUGUAUGUAUGUAUAUACACAUAGAUAUUAUAUAUAUAUUAUCUUUUACAUAUUUAUAUAUCUUCUACACAUUUUCAGUCAAUGUGGUGGUCAUGCUAGGUCACCACACUAAAGAAUUUUUAACCAAAAAAAUUGACCCUACUACUUAUGUUUCGUUAAACCUGGUAUUUAUUCCAGCGAUCUCUUUUGCCAAACUGCUAAGUUACUGGGGAGUAAACACACCAAUACUGGUUGUCAAGCGGUGGUAGGGGACAAAUAUAGACACAAAACACACACAGUUUCCAUCUACCAAAUCCACUCACAAGACUUUGGUCAGCCUGAGGCUAUAGCAGAAGGCACUUGCUCAAUAUGUCACACAGUGGGACUGAAUGUAGAACCGUAGAACAAAUACCAAACUUAGAAAAAAAUAAUAAUACUGUGGUUGAUUCGUUCAACUAAGAUUCUUCCAAACCAUGCCCAUAGUGUUGCUUGGGUCUUGUGAUUGAAAGAUAUAAAAAUAAAAGAGAUAUCUUUUGGUAUCUUUUUGACUUGAUAUUGUGCAAGGCAUGUCAAUGUAACUGUCAUACAAACACUGUCUUUUAUAUGCAACAUUCUAUGUAAACAUGUCUGGGCAUGGGGAAAUAUUAUCUUGCUUGGAAAAAAGUGAGGGAUGGUAAUAGGAAAGAAUUGGGUAGACUGAAGUAUGGCCAAAAAACUAGCCAGUGUGUUAAGCUGUGGGACUGACCCUAACAACACAUAGUAAAGAAAAAAAAAUCUUCUUAACAAUAUAUCUAUGGAUGCAACCCCACACUCUAAUACAUAUACACACUGAUAUAUAGGUAUGUGUGUGUAUAUAUAUAUGUAUAUAUACAAAUAUAUGGGUAUAUAUAUUUUAUUUAUAUUAUCAUAUGAUUGAAUGCCACGCAUCCUUUUCCAAGUAAGUUUAUCUUAUAUUUUUUUUAAAGACCCCCUUCGGUCAUGAAUGACCAUGGGAUUGCACCUAG